AAAAAAGCUGAGGUCUGUACUUAUCUCCUCUGAGAUGGCCUCUUGUAAACUUCAGGGAAAUUAUUUGCACUAUUAUUGGGUGAACCUUUGUAAACUAUACUUGUGAAAAAAGGUUCAAUAAAUGUUGCGACAUUA
rnacentral:snoRNA from 1 species